rnacentral:rRNA from 1 species
UACGGAGGGAGCUAGCGUUGUUCGGAAUUACUGGGCGUAAAGCGCACGUAGGCGGCUUUGUAAGUUAGAGGUGAAAGCCCGGGGCUCAACUCCGGAACUGCCUUUAAAACUGCAUCGCUUGAAUCCAGGAGAGGUGAGUGGAAUUCCGAGUGUAGAGGUGAAAUUCGUAGAUAUUCGGAGGAACACCAGUGGCGAAGGCGGCUCACUGGUCCGGUACUGACGCUGAGGUGCGAAAGCGUGGGGAGCAAACAGG